UGUUUUGCGUAUUCGCGCUAGCUAGUCGUAGGAUCAACUAGUCACGACUAGCUUGCGCAAAUGCGCGCACCGGGAUCAUUCUUCUUGAAUAGUACCGGACACGAAUAUCUCUCUUCUGCCUAAGGCCACAGACCACAUGCGGUUAUCGCCGUUCUAACGACAUUUGUCUAACCGUCUUCAUAUUAUCGUCAUUAUAAUGACGCCUGCCAGAUUUCAGCCUACCGACAUUUUCUUGCUUUAUCAUGACGACUUCUUCAGCAACUGACUUUAUCGCCACAGCCUUCGAGACAAUUGACUGUCAUGUUACCAACUUCGUUGACACCUGCUACGAAUUAAUUGUUCAUUGGAUAAUGUAGCCUGAGAUACAUUUAUGAUCUUUCCCACAUUUAAAAGCAAGAAAAAAAAGCAAAAGGAAAUGGAUGAAACAAAAGAGAAUCUUAACAACUGGAAUAACUUUUGAUCAAAGAAUCUGCUUUUGUUAAAGCUGAGGGAGGAAGAGAAGAGAGAAGGUAAGAGGAGGAGGAAGAGAAAAGAGGAGAUGUGGGAAGAGGAGGAAAAGAUGGAAGAAGUCGGAGGAGAGGAGGUGGCAAACAUGAAAGUUCUCAGUGGGGAACAAGUGAACUGUUUCCUAGUCACUUGAUCUGCUAGUUAGAGCAGCCCCAAAUCCUCUUUCUACUCUCUCAGCCUAAGAAAAAAACAAAGGACAUAUUGAAGAAAAUGGUCCCCACCGAACAUGAAACACAAUGAUGCAGUUUCUGAGUGAACAACAUGAAAGCUGAAGUGUCCUGCAAGUCUUUCGGAAUAGAUUAGCUUGAAUUGAGAAAUGGAGUAAAACAAGGAUGGCCAUUGCUCCCACAAACUUUUCUAUCUUCUGCUCAGCUAUGAUUGAGCUCACUUUGCCAGGGGUCAGCAAAGGGAUCGAUAGACUGAGGGUCUAUUUAUUGUUAUUAUUAUCAUCAUUAUUAUUAGUGAGUGAGAGAGUAGUGUUUUCCAUCAAAGUGACACUGGGGUACAAAUAUAUGAAGCUUAAUAUACCCAUCAUGACUAUCAGUCCGAUAAGGGUAUACCAGGCACA